UACCAGCUCUCCGAGUGGUGUGGAUGUUUAUUGGGCCUAAAGCAUCCGUAGCUGGCUGGGCAAGUCCCCUGUUAAAUCCACCUAUUUAAUCGUUGGUGUGCGGGGGAUACUGUUCGGCUAGGGGACGGGAGAGGCCGACGGUAUUUUCGGGGUAGGGGUGAAAUCCUAUAAUCCCGGGAAGACCACCAGUGGCGAAGGCUGUCGGCUAGAACGCGCCCGACGGUGAGGGAUGAAAGCUGGGGGAGCGAACCGGAUUAGAUACCCGGGUAGUCCCAGCUGUAAACGAUGCAGGCUAGGUGUUUGGGCGGCCACGUGCCGCUCUAGUGCCGCAGAGAAGUCGUUAAGCCUGCCGCCUGGGGAGUACGGCCGCAAGGCUGAAACUUAAAGGAAUUGGCGGGGAGCACCACAAGGGGUGAAGCUUGCGGUUU
rnacentral:rRNA from 1 species